UAGGGAAUCUUCCGCAAUGGACGCAAGUCUGACGGAGCAACGCCGCGUGAGUGAAGAAGGAUUUCGGUUCGUAAAACUCUGUUGUUAGAGAAGAACAGCGCAUAGAGUAACUGUUAUGCGUGUGACGGUAUCUAACCAGAAAGCCACGGCUAACUACGUGCCAGCAGCCGCGGUAAUACGUAGGUGGCAAGCGUUGUCCGGAUUUAUUGGGCGUAAAGCGAGCGCAGGCGGUCAAUUAAGUCUGAUGUGAAAGCCCCCGGCUCAACCGGGGAGGGUCAUUGGAAACUGGUUGACUUGGGGGAAGAAGAGGAGAGUGGAAUUCCAUGUGUAGCGGUGAAAUGCGUAGAUAUAUGGAGGAACACCAGGGGCGAAGGCGACUCUCUGGUCUGUAACUGACGCUGGGGUUCGAAAGCGUGGGUAGCAAACAGG
rnacentral:rRNA from 1 species